UACGUAGGGUGCGAGCGUUAAUCGGAAUUACUGGGCGUAAAGCGUGCGCAGGCGGUUCGUUGUGUCGGCGGUGAAAGCCCCGGGCUCAACCUGGGAAUGGCCGUUGAAACUGGCGAACUGGAGUGUGGCAGAGGGGGGGUGGAAUUCCGCGUGUAGCAGUGAGAUGCGUAGAGAUGCGGAGGAACACCGAUGGCGAAGGCAGCCCCCCUGGGGCUGACACUGACGCUCAGGCACGAAAGCGUGGGGAGCAAACAGG
rnacentral:rRNA from 1 species